UCUGCACCCAAACCCAAAGGCCCCCCCCUGUCCGUGGGGGGGUCUUGUCUGGCGUGCAAACAGGAAACGGACCCUUGUCGCCUUUCUGUCGCUGCCGUGCCGCAGAAUGUGAAACCAGGGGUCAACACGC
ensembl:snoRNA